ACCUGGUUGAUUCUGCCAGUAGUCAUAUGCUUGUCUCAAAGAUUAAGCCAUGCAUGUCUAAGUAUAAGCAAUUACAAAGCGAAACUGCGAAUGGCUCAUUAUAUAAGUUAUCGUUUAUUUGAUAGUACCUUACUACAUGGAUAACCGUGGUAAUUCUAGA
rnacentral:rRNA from 2 species